GACGAACGCUGUCGGCGUGCUUAACACAUGCAAGUCGAACGGAAAGGCCCUGCUUUUGUGGGGUGCUCGAGUGGCGAACGGGUGAGUAACACGUGAGUAACCUGCCCUUGACUUUGGGAUAACUUCAGGAAACUGGGGCUAAUACCGGAUAGGAGCUCCUGCUGCAUGGUGGGGGUUGGAAAGUUUCGGCGGUUGGGGAUGGACUCGCGGCUUAUCAGCUUGUUGGUGGGGUAGUGGCUUACCAAGGCUUUGACGGGUAGCCGGCCUGAGAGGGUGACCGGCCACAUUGGGACUGAGAUACGGCCCAGACUCCUACGGGAGGCAGCAGUGGGGAAUAUUGCACAAUGGGCGGAAGCCUGAUGCAGCAACGCCGCGUGCGGGAUGACGGCCUUCGGGUUGUAAACCGCUUUCGCCUGUGACGAAGCGUGAGUGACGGUAAUGGGUAAAGAAGCACCGGCUAACUACGUGCCAGCAGCCGCGGUGAUACGUAGGGUGCGAGCGUUGUCCGGAUUUAUUGGGCGUAAAGGGCUCGUAGGUGGUUGAUCGCGUCGGAAGUGUAAUCUUGGGGCUUAACCCUGAGCGUGCUUUCGAUACGGGUUGACUUGAGGAAGGUAGGGGAGAAUGGAAUUCCUGGUGGAGCGGUGGAAUGCGCAGAUAUCAGGAGGAACACCAGUGGCGAAGGCGGUUCUCUGGGCCUUUCCUGACGCUGAGGAGCGAAAGCGUGGGGAGCGAACAGGCCUAGAUACCCUGGUAGUCCACGCUGUAAACGGUGGGUACUAGGUGUGGGGUCCAUUCCACGGGUUCCGUGCCGUAGCUAACGCUUUAAGUACCCCGCCUGGGGAGUACGGCCGCAAGGCUAAAACUCAAAGGAAUUGACGGGGCCCCGCACAAGCGGCGGAGCAUGCGGAUUAAUUCGAUGCAACGCGUAGAACCUUACCUGGGUUUGACAUGGAUCGGGAGUGCUCAGAGAUGGGUGUGCCUCUUUUGGGGUCGGUUCACAGGUGGUGCAUGCCUGUCGUCAGCUCGUGUCGUGAGAUGUUGGGUUAAGUCCCGCAACGAGCGCAACCCUUGUUCACUGUUGCCAGCACGUUAUGGUGGGGACUCAGUGGAGACCGCCGGGGUCAACUCGGAGGAAGGUGGGGAUGACGUCAAGUCAUCAUGCCCCUUAUGUCCAGGGCUUCACGCAUGCUACAAUGGCUGGUACAGAGAGUGGCGAGCCUGUGAGGGUGAGCGAAUCUCGGAAAGCCGGUCUCAGUUCGGAUUGGGGUCUGCAACUCGACCUCAUGAAGUCGGAGUCGCUAGUAAUCGCAGAUCAGCAACGCUGCGGUGAAUACGUUCCCGGG
rnacentral:rRNA from 1 species